rnacentral:sRNA from 1 species
UUGGAUAGUGCUUAUACAGAUUGGAAAAUGCAAGGCAAUAAUUUGCAAAUAAGAUCUGAUCUGCUGUCUCUAGAAUUAGUGUCCAGGGUUCUAUACUGGGAACUCGGGCUGCUGUGUUCAAGACUGGCAUUGAUAGGGGGAAGGAUUGGGCCAAGGACAAAUAAAAACUCUACGAGACUUUUCUACCAGUUUUCAUUUUUCUUUAUAUGUAUAUUUAUCUCUCUGUUAAUAGUAUGGGGUGCCAAAUAAAAUCCUUUAUUUGUUUUUGGAACGCUGCACUUUCUUGGUGAGAAGGUUUUCAGCAUUUUUUAGAUACUGUGAGUUCUAUUAGAUUUGGUAAUGUAAUUUUUGUUGACUACUAAAAAGUUUGUUUUAGUUACUUAGGAAGUAUUAUAAAUAUUCAUGGGAGAUGACAUUGAGUUCUUUCUAAGAAUAUGUGCAGUCUUUCCCCUUCUUUGUUUCCCCUUUGGCAUUACUCAAAAUGUUUAAAAUUUUUCCUUCGAGAUGGUGAAAUAUCUUUUAUCUGUCUGUUGUCAUACUUCACUACAUUUGAUCUAAAGGAAACUAGUUGCCAGCUUUCAAAUAUUCUCUGUAAGUAUAAUCACAUUGGAUGGGCUAAAUCCCCUAAAUAACAAGCUGCAACAAAACAUGAAAUGUUAUCUACCCAGAAAGCUCAUUAUAGACCCAAUGCCCAGAGUGUUUCUUUGUGGCUGUCUUAUCGUGUUUCUUGUUAUUCAUAACAGAAUUGCUGAACCUUGGUAAUUUAUAAGAAACAGUAUUUAAUUUUUACAUUUCUGGAGGCUGGGAAGUCCAAGAUUAAGGCUGGGCAUCUGGUAAGAACCUUCUUGCUGGUGGGGACUCUGCAGAGUCCCUAGGUGGCAUAGAGUAUCACAUGGUGAGGGAGCUGAGUGUCUAGCUCAGAUCUCUUUCUCUUCUCAGAAGGACAUGAGAUAGCUCAUUUAUUCGUUCACGCAUUAUGGAUUAAUCUAUUCAUGAGGUCCAAACCCUUAGGACUAAAUCACCUCUUAAACCCCACUUUUUUUUUUUUUAACUGCCACUUUGGAGAUUAACAUUCAUUGUGCAUUUUGGAGGGGACAGCCAUUCAAACCUAGCAGUGGCUGAUCAGGUGCACUCCCUCUGCUGAAUAUGUAACAAAAUUCCAAACUCUCAGAAGGAAGAUGGGGUUAAGGAAAUAACUAUUUUGUUUUGCAUAAACAAUUUAGGCACACUCCACCCCUAUUAUUAGUUACGCUCAUGGGACCCUCCCCUAAAUACAUUGUCUAGACACCAUGAAAAGCCCAACUUUGUGAAAAAGCAUUUGUAAGGACACGCAGUCUCAGCACUGCUAAUGGUAACUCCCUUUUGCACAAUAAGUAGUAGGACUUUAUCAUACCAAGGACUGCAGACCCACUGUGGAAAUAGACAUUAGGGGUGAUCCAACCUAUGUGAUUCACUCACUUAGUUCGCCAACAAGUGGCAUGUUUCCGUUCAACUGUUAAUUUACCAAACAUGUUUAACUGUAGCUUCAGAGUUACUGUAUAGGAGAAAGUGAGUGUAGACAGAGAAUAAGAGUGGGUUUACCAUGUCAUUGAAUAAAAUGGUUGGAAACCACAGCAUCAUGUGAAAUUUAUGAAGUGAGUAUAGAUUCUCAGUACUGUGAUUUUCACCCUUCCUCCUCUGUACAUGUGGGAUGGAUCAGGCCUCAGUGGCUUUAGAGGAUGUGGCUGUGAACUUCACCCGAGAAGAGUGGGCUUUGCUGGGUCCUUGUCAGAAGAAUCUCUACAAAGAUGUGAUGCAGGAAACCAUCAGGAACCUGGAUUGUGUAGGAAUGAAAUGGAAAGACCAGAACAUUGAAGAUCAAUACAGAUAUCCCAGGAAAAAUCUAAGAUGUCGUAUGUUAGAGAGAUUUGUUGAAAGUAAAGAUGGAAGUCAAUGUGGAGAAACAUCUAGGCAGAUUCAAGAUAGUAUUGUGACCAAGAACACUCUUCCUGGAGUAGGUCCAUGUGAAAGCAGUAUGAGUGGAGAAAUCGUCAUGGAUCAUUCAUCCCUUAAUUGUUACAUCAGAGUUGGUGCUGGGCACAAACCACAUGAGUAUCAUGAAUGUGGAGAGAAGCCAGAUACGCAUAAACAAUGUGGGAAAGCCUUCAGUUACCACAACUCUUUUCAAACACAUGAAAGGCUUCACACUGGAAAGAAACCAUAUGAUUGUAAAGAAUGUGGGAAGUCCUUCAGUUCUUUGGGAAACCUUCAAAGACACAUGGCAGUGCAGCGUGGAGAUGGACCUUAUAAAUGUAAGUUGUGUGGGAAAGCGUUUUUUUGGCCCAGUUUAUUACAUAUGCAUGAAAGAACGCACACGGGAGAGAAACCAUAUGAAUGUAAGCAGUGUUCUAAAGCCUUUUCUUUUUACAGUUCCUAUCUAAGACAUGAAAGAACACAUACUGGGGAGAAACCGUAUGAAUGUAAGCAGUGUUCUAAAGCCUUCCCUGAUUACAGUUCUUGUCUAAGACACGAAAGAACUCACACUGGAGAGAAACCCUAUACAUGUAAACAAUGUGGGAAAGCCUUCAGUGCUUCCACUUCCCUUCGAAGACACGAAACAACUCACACUGAAGAGAAACCCUAUGCAUGUCAGCAAUGUGGGAAAGCAUUUCAUCAUCUGGGAAGCUUUCAAAGACACAUGGUAACGCACACAAGAGAUGGACCUCAUAAAUGUAAGAUAUGUGGAAAAGGCUUUGAUUGUCCUAGUUCACUGCAGAGUCAUGAAAGAACUCACACUGGAGAGAAACUCUAUGAAUGCAAGCAGUGCGGGAAGGCAUUAUCUCAUAGCUCAAGCUUUCGAAGACACAUGACAAUGCACACUGGAGAUGGACCUCACAAAUGCAAGAUAUGUGGGAAAGCCUUUGUUUAUCCCAGUGUAUUUCAAAGACAUGAAAGGACUCACACUGCAGAGAAACCCUAUAAAUGUAAGCAAUGUGGCAAAGCCUACCGUAUUUCCAGUUCCCUUCGAAGGCAUGAAACAACUCAUACUGGAGAGAAACCCUAUAAAUGCAAAUGUGGGAAAGCCUUUAUUGAUUUCUACUCCUUUCAAAAUCACAAAACAACUCACGCUGGAGAGAAGCCAUAUGAGUGUAAGGAAUGUGGGAAAGCAUUCAGUUGUUUCCAAUACCUUUCUCAACAUAAAAGGACUCACACAGGAGAGAAACCUUAUGAGUGUAAAACAUGUAGGAAAGCCUUCAGUCAUUUUGGUAACUUAAAAGUACAUGAAAGGAUUCACUCUGGAGAGAAACCCUAUGAAUGUAAGGAAUGCAGGAAAGCAUUCUCUUGGCUCACUUGCCUUCUACGACAUGAAAGAAUUCACAUGAGAGAGAAAUCCUAUGAAUGUCAACAAUGUGGUAAAGCCUUCACUCAUUCCCGUUUUCUUCAAGGACAUGAAAAAACUCACACUGGAGAGAACCCAUAUGAAUGUAAGGAGUGUGGGAAAGCAUUUGCUUCUCUCAGUUCCUUGCACAGACAUAAAAAGACUCACUAGCAUUCUCUCUAAAUGUAUGGAAUGUGGGAAAGCAUUUAUUAAUUUUAUUUCAUUUCAGAAACUUGUAUGAAACACAUUGGAGAUAGACCCUGUGAAUGUAAGUACUUGGUAAAGCCUUAAGUAGUUUCAGUUUCUUUCCAGUACAGUCAUCCCUUGAUACCAGCUGGGUACUGGUUCCAGCACUCCAUGAGCCAUGUCAAGUCCUUUUUAUAAAAUGACAUGUUUGUAACCUACCCGCAUUCUCUUGUAUACUCUCAAUUAUGUCUAGAUUACUUAAAAUACCUCAUGCAUUGUAAAAGGUAUGCAAAUAGUUGUUCUAUUGUAUUGUUUAGGGAAUCAUGAUAAGGAAAAGCAUCUAUGUAUUUUCAGUAUAGAUGCAGUAAUUGUGAGCCUAUCAACAUAGUAUAUGUCAGCCGGAACAUUAAAGUUUCUUUGUUUCAGCUUUCA